UGGUUCAAGUGUAGGCUCCAGACAGCUGCAGCUGUCAUGGUGGCAUCCAGAGAUGGAGCCAGGCCAGAAACCAGAGAAUCUUCUGGAAGGUGGAGGGAUGAAAAGUCUCCAUUCAAACAGCAGCUUACAUUCGAACAAGGCAGACUCCAGAUAAAUGGGCAGGUGGCACUGACACAAGAAUUCCCACCUGGGCGGGAAGCAUGAGGGAUGAAAUAAAGAUAACCCCAGCUCUUGGUCUGAGCUACCACUGUUCUGCUAAAAA